UUCGGGUGAUUGCCCUAGUGCGGUUCGCGCGGCGUGCCAGCCAAUCUGACCUGUUGAUUGGCAAGGAAGAAUACGUGUCAGGUCCGGAAGUCGCGAUUGGCUAAAUUUCCGAUCUUGAGAGAGCUUAUCAGCGAAUCGGCCGAUUUGCCGUAAUAAAGAAAUCGGCUAUAAAGCAACCGAUCACUGUAGCAGUGUAGACAAAAACUACUGGAGUAAUUGACACAAUGCUAUAGUAACAACACUAGGAACAGAUCUAAUCGGCUAUAUGUAAAAUAAGUGAAUUAAAUAGCAGAAUAUAAGGAAAGCCGAAACUGCCGAUUCCUAGCUAGAUAACUGGUGAUAAAACUAGAAAAACAGGUAAAACCUAUGAUUCUAGUAAAUAUCGAUAACUAGUGAAUAAAUCUAAACGAAACGACAGCGAUGCGCCCGAAGUUAAAGCUUAGAAUUUACUCGGUAAACGGAACUUACAAGAUCGGCCGGAGGUCAAGUUGAUGCAGCCCCGCCAACCCGUACGAACUCGUGAAAAAGAAGAAAGUAUUUGGCGAAGUCGCCUGCUUGAAAGUAAGUACGAGGAAAUAGUAGUUUGUUAUAUUGAUUUAUUGAUGAUUACAGAUCUACAAAGGUAGCUAUUUAUAGCCCCGUAAGACGACUCCUUAUCUGACUAGAACUCUAUCCCUAAUUCAAAUAGAAAACGAAUAUUUACAAGUAUGAUCCGUACUAGGUUGGUUAUUAUACGCUUCACGGGCUGAUCUCCCCUUCAUCCUUCUAUUCCUUUCCAAGCCCAUACCGGCCCAAUUAUUCCAACCUCCUAAUCGGCCGAUUCCUCAUCGGCAAAAGGUAACCGAUCGGGAACCUGGCGUGUCCGAUCCGAACCCCAAGGGUUAAGCGAGGCAGAAGUCAUCGGCCGAUCCCGUACUGUAGCAUUGGCCGAUCUUGGACUGUAGCGCCAACCAACCGAUCUCGAACUGUAGCGCCAUUCGGCCGAUUUCCAACUAUACUUUCCUAUUUCCUCUUCUCCUGGCGCCGAUUUCACUCGUGACGAAAUCUGGCGUCAACACAUGCCCCCCAGUUUCGGAGUAAAACAUAGUCUUUACUUCAAAAUUCUUUUCAACUUCCCCUCCGAAACAACCGCAAUGAAAAUAUCCUUCCGUUUCGCGGUCUUCAACCUGAUGAUUGCAAUCUUUUCGAAACGGGCGCCCACGACAACCACUACUCCCAAAAAACUCGAAACGCCGGCGCGGUAAAAAUUCCACUUUUACCCCUCCUUAGGCGCCCUUUAAAUAUCAGUUCACCCUGUUCUUCUUUUCGAGCUCACGUCCUUCUUCCUCAGCGCGCGCGAGCCUUCUUCCUCCUCCAGUUCUUUCCCUUAGUUCCAAAGCUUGCUAGUGCCAUCUUCCUGUCGCUUUUCCUCCUCCCAUCCAAUGGCGGCACCUUCAGGCAACUCACCCGGGCGCGAUGCUCCAGAAAUGGCGCCUCCGGCGGAAGUGGCGACAGCGGUUGCUCCAUCGUCAGAAGAAGGAGCUUCAUCGGAGAUACCAAUGGCGAUCCCCAUAGCGGCCUCAUCCUCCGCAGCUGCACCGGCGGUCACGCCGACUACAAAGAACUUCAUCCCAGAGGUUAUUACCGAAUCCUUCCUCUAUCGGCAAUGCAUUUACUUUAGAUCUAUUUCUUACUUUUGCACCCCCCCCCUUUCCUUUUUAGGCGGUUAAACAUCGCAUCACCAUCCAUCUUACGGGAAAUCCCAGCCUUAUUUGUCUCGGACCUAUGGGGAACCCAGAUCCAAUAGAGCUCAUCAAUUUAGAAACCCACAGAAUCUCCUUCAAACAAUCCACCAUGGACCUGGAUCACCGGUUGGGCACCUUUAGGUCUUGGCCGAAUGAAACCCCGGGUUGGAGGGAGUGGUACCAACUGAUAGCCGAACCGAAGAGGGUCCAAUGGGACGAGCUCAAAAUCGGCCAAUGCAUCAACCUGUCUUUGUCCCAGAUGGAGCGAAAUGAACCAUUGGUGAUAGCAGCCUCUUACUUCUGGUCUGACGCCCUUAAUGCAUUCUUGUUUGGGCAUGGACCUAUGACCCCCACACUAGCCGAUGUGGUUCUACUGACCGGCCUUGAUAUCUCCUCCCCGGACACACCUUUCCACCUCUUAGCCGCAACAUCGCAUCGGCUGGACACGAGAGGAAUCGGCGGGUGGAAAGGAUUCAUCAGAUGUAACAAAAGGGCCGGGUCUGUUGAGAAUAGGGAGCACACGGCCUUUUUAAUGAUGUGGUUGGAAAAACAUUUCUUUUGCGGAAGAGCAGCCGGCCCAUCAACCAACACCUAGGCUUUAGCCGAAGCGCUAUCGGCAGGAACCCCUGUUCCCCUUGGAAAACACUUGCUAGGGGAGGCCUACCACAUGCUCCACCAAAUUGGCAUCAAACUCUCCAAGGGGGAGCCGAUUGGAAAUCCAGGCGGACCCUGGUGGUUCAUCAAUUUGUGGCUGAACCUUUAUAUGAGCAAGAUCUCUCAGCAGAGAGUGGAACACAUGAUGUUCCCUAACAUAGAAUCGGCAGAAGAUUCUACUGCUCGACGCCAAUGCACAUCCUUUGGUGAAGCGGAGUCGGCCUUCCCGGGUUGCCUGUACUCUGCUACAAAAGUGGCCGAGUACUUUCGAUGGUUUUACAACGGCUUUAAUGAAGAUGCAACCGUCUGGUUUCCUUAUCAGCGGGACGACCCAAUCUUCGAACUCCCAACUUGCUUCGACUCGACGACUGGCCGAUUCGACGAAGAACUCACCGAUGAGUUAAUCAAGCGAGGAAUCCUGUCAGCCAACUUCUUUUUGGGGAAAGAUGCCCCUACAUAUGAGUUCUAAAAUCCUUCUGCUGCAGCACGCCAACUCGGCAUGGGUCAGCUGCCGAUUCAAGUAUAUUUUACUAGCCGAGCCAAGUUCAGAGAUGGGCUCACAACAGGUCUGGACUACAGUCGGCUGCGAGACCGGAUCCCGGACUCCACUACUAUUGACCUGAACAACUGGAUAGUAGCUCCCUUCGCUAUCCAGCCAUUCAAGCUUUGGUGGGCCGAAUGGAAACAAUUCCUUUUCUGCAACUCCGCAUCGGCAUACUGCAAUCUCCUGGACCCAACCAACAUCGACCCAAACGCCGAGGUAUUUUUCCUUAGCCGAUUUUUAUUCUUCUAUCAACGCAGCUGAACACUAAUGUUUUGCCAUUGUUUCAGUCCGAGAACCGUGUCCCCCCAACACACAGCCGGAGUGGUCGGUUAAUUGAAGAUCAUCCAUACACCACCUACCCUCUCAUCGGCUAUGAUGCUCCGUCUGUAGACGUAAUUGCUGGCCGAUCGAAGCAAGUGCAGAAAAAGGUCACCAAGAAGACCAGUCGCCGAGUCCGGGCCCGUACAGAAUCGGCGGAUCCUCCCAUGCUCGUAUCGGCAGAGACUUCGGUCGCACCACCCCCUCAAGCUACCAGAGAGAUCGACACUCAAGUCGUCGCGCAAGCCGGGGCAGCCGCCGCAUCACUGCUGUUAGAGGCCGUGCAGGUAAACUUAUGUUUAUCCCUUCCGAUUGUCGUUUCGAUAUUAAUCCUUCUUAUCUUAGACUGCACAGAUUACCCCCAUGGACACACAACAAUCGGCAGCAACCCAAUCGGCCAUCGACGCGCCCCCACUCCCAUCCGUUGAGGUAUAACACAAUUUCACCGAUUCCCCUAGUAUUUGAAUAAUAUGCUUACUCAACCUUCUGACACUGGUCAUCGGCAAGCCAAGCGCUCCUCAACCACUGUUCCCCUCUCGGGAGGCUGGUCCAAGUACAGCGCCAAUCAUCGUGGAGUCUUCCUCUUCUGAUGAACCCAUGGCACCAGCCCCUGAACCGAGGAUGACGGCUUCCCAAAUGCAGCUUGAGGAGAUCCGAUUCAAAGAGGUAAGAAACCUUUCAACUUUAUUUAGCCGAUUUGCUAUCACCAUCAGCCGAUUCAUUUUUCUUCUUUACUAUUUCCAGGAACAGGACACCCCUGACAACAGCCUUUUCUCCUUUGCGGUCGCCCUCUCUGACGACGAAGAAGUCGCCUCCCGCCAGAUCACCUUGAGCUCCAUCCCCGACGACGUCCGGGCCAAGCUUACCAACAUCCGAUCCCUUCUUCAAGGAGACAUUGGCCGAUUGGUAGAAGAUGCCUCGCCGAUUCGGCAGCUCUUUGGUGACGUCAGUGUUGGGAUACGAGGUAGGCUACACUAGCGCAAUUCAAAAAUUCUACCACGUAUAACCAGGAAGAACUGCCGUAUAAGGAUCACGGGAUUACCACUCGACGCACUACUGGUGCGGAAGAUGUAGAUAUGCGUCGAUGCAGUGAAGACGAUCACGUAGUCGUACGUAGUCGAUCACGUCCAGCAGCUCCUCAGCAGCUCGUCCACGUGCAGCAAGAUCACCUCCGGUGCCACGGCUCGUCGUCGGCUCAUCGUGGCUCAUCGGCGGCUCGUCCAAGUGCUGCAGGCGCAACACCUCCAAGGUAUCCACACGUGCAGGGAGGAAGUGUCGCAAACCGGACUGCUAGAUCCGCGAGUUGCAACAGGCGAGGGCGUGGGUGGCGCGGCAGGUGUGUUUCGCCAAAAGGUGUAAACCCUAGGGCGCCCCCACCCCUCUAUUUAUAGAGGUUCCUGAUGGGCCUCUGGAUCCGAGGCCCAUUAGUACUUCUAAACCUAAUCCAACUCGGAUCAGAUCCGAAUUGGGCUUCCAGCCCCUUAAGUGUGUGACCCUAUGGGUUCGGAUACGUAUAGACAUGGCCCGAGUACUCCUACUCGGCCCAAUAGUCGGUAGCGGCCUCUAGCAAGACGUGCCAACUCCUAUACGCACACGAAGAUCAUAUCAGACGAACCAUCACAACAUAAUAUACAUGCUAUUCCCUUUGCCUCACGAUAUUUGGUCUAGCUUCAAGCCGACCGCUCUUUCUCGAUCCUGUGAUUUGGAAUCCCUUUGUAGGUUAACUCUUAACCGUACGUAGCAUGGCCAUGCAUUUUCGGAUCCGAUCACUCGAGGGGCCCAGAGAUAUCACUCUCACUCAGAGAGGGGCAAAUCUCAUCUUGAUUGACCAUGUCUCAUAGCAUGCUUCUUGACAAACCCGAAAGCUACCUUUAUAACUACCAUAUUACGGCGUAGCGUUUGACAGCCCCUAAGUAGGUCGAUCCACAUCUAGAAUACAUGCGACAAUCUCAGGUCUAAGGACAAAGCGUAUAUGUUGUUUAAAGAGAGAACUACUUCUCGUGUUGGGUCAGUCCUAACACAUGUCUCCACAUGUGUCCACAUUAUUAGUUCAACAUCUCCAUAUUCAUGACUUGUGAAACAUAGUCAUCAACUAAUACAUGUGCUAGUCUAAUAUUCAUGUGUGUCCUCACAUGAACUCCGACUAGGGACAACUUUAGAAUAACCAUACAAGUAAAGAGUUUCACAUACAAUUCACAUAAUUGCAAAUCAAUUCAAGUAGCCUUUAAUGGAUAUUCAAUGAACACAAUAUACAAAUCAUGGAUACAAAUGGAAUAUCAUCAUCUCUAUGAUUGCCUCUAGGGCAUACCUCCAACAGUCUCCCACUUGCACUAGAGUCAAUCUAGAAGGUACCUAAUACUCAUAGCUCUUACAUGCGCAUCAUGCUUAGCCUGCGGGAGUGGUUUUGUCAACGGAUCAGAAAUGUUCAGAUCCGUGUGUAUUUUGCAUAUCUUGAUCUCACCCCGGUUAACGAAGUCUCGAAUGAGAUGAAAUCGCCGCAUUACAUGUUUGUUCUUCUGGUGGUUCCUUGGCUCCUUUGCUUGCGCAAUUGCCCCAUUAUUAUCACAGUAGAGAUUCAAUGGGCUGGACGCAUUCGGGAACACACCAAGCUCAAUGAGGAAAUUCCUUAUCCAAACACCUUCCUUCGCGGCUUCCGAAGCCACGAUGUACUCGGCUUCUGUCGUAGAAUCGGCCACCGUCUCCUGCUUGGAACUCUUCCAACUAACAGCACCACCAUUUAGCGUGAACACAAAUCCUGAUUGUGACUUUGAAUCAUCUCUGUCGGUUUGGAAACUAGCAUCGGUGUAACCUGUUACAACGAGCUCCUCCUCACCUCCAUAGACGAGGAACAUAUCUUUAGUCCUUCUCAAGUACUUAAGAAUGUUUUUCACCGCUGUCCAGUGACUCUCACCUGGAUCAGAUUGGUGCCUGCUUGUCAUACUUAGCGCAUAUGAAACAUCUGGGCGAGUACUUAUCAUUGCAUACAUGAUAGAUCCAAUAGCCGAGGCAUAUGGCACUCUACUCAUGCGAUCCCGCUCAUCAGCAGUCGAAGGACACUGAGUCUUGCUGAGAUGUAUGCCAUGUGACAUAGGCAAGAACCCUUUCUUUGCCUCUUCCAUGCUGAACCGCUUCAACACUUUGUCAAUGUAAGUAUCUUGGCUUAAACCUAUAAGCCUUCUCGAUCUAUCUCUAUAGAUCUUAAUGCCCAGAAUAUAUGCCGCUUCCCCUAAGUCCUUCAUCGAAAAACUAUUUUUCAGUGAAGUCUUUACGGACUCAAGCAUAGGAAUGUUAUUUCCAAUCAGUAAUAUGUCAUCCACAUAUAAGAUUAGAAAUACUACAGAGCUCCCACUAACCUUCUCGUAAACACAAGACUCUUCUUCGUUCUUGGUGAAGUCAAACCCUUUGACCACUUCAUCAAAACGAAUGUUCCAACUCCUAGAUGCUUGCUUCAAUCCAUAAAUGGAUCUCUGAAGCUUGCAUACCUUUCCAGCAUUUUUCGGAUCGACAAAACCCUCGGGCUGUAUCAUAUACACGUCCUCAGCUAGGUUUUCAUUCAGGAAAGCUGUCUUGACAUCCAUCUGCCAUAUCUCAUAAUCGAAAUAUGCAGCUAUAGCUAGAAUAAUCCGAAUGGACUUAAGCAUCACUACAGGUGAGAAGGUCUCGUCGUAGUCAACUCCUUGAACUUGUCGAAAACCUUUUGCGACAAGUCGUGCUUUAUAGAUGUGAACAUUUCCAUCCAUGUCCUUUUUCUUCUUAUAGAUCCACUUGCACUCUAUGGCUUUAACACCAUCAGGCGGGUCAACCAAGUUCCAAACUUGAUUGUCUCCCAUGGACUCUAUUUCGGAUUGCAUGGCAUUCUGCCAUUUUUCGGAGUCUGGGUCCAUCAUUGCUUCUGCAUAUGUCGCAGGCUCAUCAUUGUCCAACAAUAAUAUUUCCCGCAUUUCGCGGAGCCUUGCCGACCUUCGUGGUUGUGGCGGUGCUUCUCUUGCCAUAGGUAUCUCAACUUGUUCUGCUACGUUAGCAUCACUUAUUGAUUCUUGCCCGAUCGGCUCAUCUUGAACUUCUUCAAGAUGCACUGUCUUUCCACUAUUUUCUCCUUUGAGAAACUCUUUCUCUGGGAAAACCCCAUUCCGAGCGACAAACACUUUGCCUUCUGAUCGGUUGUAGAAAUAAUAUCCCAAAGUUUCCUUUGGAUAUCCCACGAAAAUGCACUUAUCCGACUUGGGUGUGAUCUUGUCCGACUGAAGUCGCUUGACAAACACUUCACACCCCCAAAUCUUUAGAAAAGACAAACUAGGAACCUUUCCAGUCCAUAUCUCAUAUGGUGUCUUAACUAUGGAUUUAGAUGGUACCCUAUUAAGUGUGAAAGCUGAUGUUUCUAGAGCGUAUCCCCAAAAUGACAACGGUAGGUCCGACUGGCUCAUCAUUGAUCGAACCAUGUCUAACAAAGUUCGAUUACGUCACUCGGACACACCGUUUCUCUGAGGUGUUCCAGGCGGCGUAAGUUGUGGAACAAUUCCGCAACUCUUUAGAUGAUUGCUAAACUCGUGGCUCAAAUACUCGCCUCCACAAUCAGAUCGUAAGGCCUUAAUUUUCUUGCCACCCUGAUUUUCAACUUCAUUCUGAAAUUCCUUGAACUUUUCAAAGGUUUCAGACUUGUGCCUCAUCAAGUAGACAUAGCCAUAUCUACUAAAAUCAUCAAUGAAAGUUAUGAAGUAUUGGAAUCCUCCUCUAGCCGUCGUGCUCAUUGGUCCGCAUACAUCACUAUGUACAAGUUCCAACAAGUCUACUGCUCUCUCAGGAAAUCCUGUGAAAGGCGUCUUGGUCAUCUUGCCUAGCAAGCAAGCCUCACAUGUCUCGUAUGAUUCAAAAUCAAACGAAGUUAGAAGUCCAUCAGAAUGGAGCUUCUUCAUGCGCUUUUCACUUAGAUGACCCAAACGACAAUGCCACAAGUAGGUAGGACUCAAAUCAUUAGGCCGAGGCCUUUUAGCACUUAUAUUACAGACAGGUGAACCUUCAAGAUUUAAAACAAAUAAUCCAUUCAUAAUGGGUGCAAAAGUCAUAAACAUAUUAUUCUUAGAGAUCACACAACCAUUAUUUUCACUCGCAAAUGAAUAACCAUCCUUCAUCAAACAUGAAGGAGACAAAAUGUUUCGACUUAAACUAGGAACAAAAUAACAAUUAUUCAACUCCAUAAUAAAUCCUGACGGGAGGUGGAGUUGCAUCAUCCCGACGGUCAACGCAGCAACUCUUGCAUUAUUGCCCACGCGGAAAUCAACUUCUCCUCUUCCCUGCAUCGAAUUGCAAAUAUGAGCAACCGAUCCGGUAUCAAAUACCCAAGAAUUAAUAAUUGUAUCAGCGAGAAAUAUGUUGUCUAUAACAUUAACAACAAGCGUACCUGAGGUAGAAGUACUCUUACUUCCGCCAUUCUUCAACGAAGCUAGGUACUGCUUGCAGUUUCUCUUCCAGUGACCAAGUUCAUGACAGUAAAAGCACUCUUUGUCUGGAGCAGGUCCAGGUCCAGCUUUAACCUUGGGCGCUGGAUUUGGCUUGGACGUUCCAGCCUUGCCCUUCUUUUUCCAAGAAUUGCCCUUCUUCUUAAAGCUAGGCUUGUUCUGUACAGCCAUCACAUGGCUGGUACUAGCGCUUUUCUUGAUGUCUACCUCUGCUGUCUUGAGCAUUCCACACAGUUCAUUCAAGCCCUUCUCCGUCCCAUGCAUAUGGUAGUUCGAGAUGAAGUUCCCAUAGCUAGGCGGAAGAGAUGAAAGAAUGAAGUCAGUGGCCAACUCUUUGCCCAUUGGGAAGCCCAGCUUCUCCAAUCGCUGAGUGUAACCAACCAUCUUGAUUACAUGUGGUCCUACUGCUGCGCCUUCUGCUAACUUACACUCCCGAAAGGCUUUGGACACAUUGAACCUUUCGGUCCUAGCCUGUGUCUGGAACAUGUCCUUGAGCGCCACGAUCAUAUCGUGUGCCUCAUGAUUUGUUUCGAACUGCAUCUACAGCUCGGGUUCCAUGCAAGCAAGCAUAAGGCAGCUUACCUCAAGAUUAGCAUCAAAUGCCUUCUUGUAAGAAGCCUUAACGGCAGCAGAUGCAUCAUCAGCAGGUACUGGUGGUAGUGGGGUGUCUAGAACAUCUUCCUUUUUAUCAGCCCUGAGAACAAUUCUCAGGUUACGGAUCCAAUCCGAGUAGUUUGUUCCAUUCAACUUGUCCUUCUCAAGGACCGAACGCAAAGCAAACGAUGUGGUGGUGUUGCUAGGUGCCAUUUAAUCUACAACAAAAGUAAUGCAAAAUACACUAAGACAAACGUAUCCAUGAUAGAGCAAAUUACAUUAAACUAUUUUAACAGAAUCUACUCCCACUAAAAUCAAUAUCCCUCUAUUGAAACUUAGUGAUUCAGGAUCCACAACUAACAAGUCUACUAGUGAGCUUUAGCAUCACCGCUAGCAAACGAGGUAGAUCGGUAAGCAACUUUUGCUAAUCAUAUCACAUAUGACUCCUUUUGUUGGGUGACAUCUCUAUGUCUCGGCGCCCAACCUUUAUGCCCCAAGGUCCUUAACCGUUAAGAUAACCUUGUUAAGCAAACCAACCCUUAUGCGUGUAAGUGUCCGACACAAACCCGUCUAGUCAAGGAAAACUAGUGGCACCCUAAUUUCAUAGACCCACCACUAAUUGUACAAGACAUGGGACGGUGCAAGUUUUAGUUGGGAGGGCAUACUAACUUAAACUUUGUGAGGGAUCGUUCUACUUCUAACAUCACAGCAUGCAGAAAGUAAAACAUAAACAGAAUAGCAUUCACAUACUUGUGACACAGUAUGGCCCGUUUUCAUAUGGUGAUCUCCAUCUCCAUAGAACCUGUUCACCAUGGUGAUCUCCAUCUCCAUGUUCCAUGUGCGCCAUCCUCCUAGUGAUGAGUCCUCCAAGAACUAGAGCAUGCUAUUACGCCUAAUAGCUAGUAAAAAAUCUACUAAUGAAGAUUACAUAGUUGCUUGGGUCAUCACAGAUUGGUACGCAGACCAUUAAAUACAAUAAAGUGACAACACAUAUGGCUCCUGCCAUGUUGCCGUACGCGCGACACGCAGGUCACGAAUGAGUUACACACAUGCAUCACAUACACAAGGGGGCCAUACUGAUCACAAGAUAUAUACAAACAUCCUGCAAAACAGAGUUAGGCGUCCUAACGUUCUAAACUUCGGAGGCCCGAAACUCCAUCUUCCAAGCCGAAUUUGGGAAAUCUAAUUUCGCCGAAAACGGCAAAGCCGUUGAAUUUCAUGUGUAACUUUUCCUGUAGAUCAAUUUUUAUAUAAAAUUCGCCCCGAUCCGAGAUCGUACCGAAAAGUUACGGCUGAUUUACCGAAGCAUAUGCAUACGGCAAAAAUCUCGACCCCGGCAGUAGAUCUCAUCUACUAUUGCACAUCUAAUGCGCCUGGCGUAUGACCCUGGAUCUCGAUUCGACCAAUCAUAUUGAUCUUCGCUCACUGCAACUGGAUUUACGUGUAUCACUUAACUCCGAUGGCAGAAACCGACCGGUAGGAGUAUGUCGUUACACUACCAUUGCAGCAAGGGCACGAAACCAGGACAUAGAUCAAACAGAAAACUCGCAUAUCUCCAUAUGCACACAUCCCGAAUCCAAAACUAAGCAGCUACGGCUCUGAUACCAUUGUUGGGAUACGAGGUAGGCUACACUAGCGCAAUUCAAAAUUCUACCGCGUAUAACCAGGAAGAACUGCCGUAUAAGGAUCACGGGAUUACCACUCGACGCACUACUGGUGCGGAAGAUCUAGAUAUGCGUCGAUGCAGUGAAGACGAUCACGUAGUCAUACGUAGUCGAUCACGUCCAGCAGCUCCUCAGCAGCUCGUCCACGUGCAGCAAGAUCGCCUCCGGUGCCGCGGCUCGUCGUCGGCUCGUCGUGGCUCGUCGGCGGCUCGUCCAAGUGCUGCAGGCGCAACACCUCCAAGGUAUCCACACGUGCAGGGAGGAAGCGUCGCAAACCGGACUGCUAGAUCCGCGAGUUGCAACAGGCGAGGGCGUGGGAGGCGCGGCAGGUGUGUUUCGCCAAAAGGUGUAAACCCUAGGGCGCUCCCACCUCUGGAUCCGAGGCCCAUUAGUACUUCUAAACCUAAUCCAACUCGGAUCAGAUCCGAAUUGGGCUUCCAGCCCCUUAAGUGUGUGACCCUAUGGGUUCGGAUACGUAUAGACAUGGCCCGAGUACUCCUACUCGGCCCAAUAGUUGGUAGCGGCCUCUAGCAAGACGUGCCAACUCCUAUACGCACACGAAGAUCAUAUCAGACGAACCAUCACAACAUAAUAUACAUGCUAUUCCCUUUGCCUCAUGAUAUUUGGUCUAGCUUCAAGCCGACCGCUCUUUCUCGAUCCUGUGAUUCGGAAUCCCUUUGUAGGUUAACUCUUAACCGUACGUAGCAUGGCCAUGCAUUUUUGGAUCCGAUCACUCGAGGGGCCCAGAGAUAUCACUCUCAAUCAGAGAGGGGCAAAUCCCAUCUUGAUUGACCAUGUCUCAUAGCAUGCUUCUUGACAAACCCGAAAGCUACCUUUAUAACUACCCUGUUACGGCGUAGUGUUUGACAGCCCCUAAGUAGGUCGAUCCACAUCUAGAAUACAUGCGACAAUCUCAGGUCUAAGGACAAAGCGUAUAUGUUGUUUAAAGAGAGAACUACUUCUCGUGUUGGGUCAGUCCUAACACAUUUCUCCACAUGUGUCCACAUUAUUAGUUCAACAUCUCCAUAUCCAUGACUUGUGAAACAUAGUCAUCAACUAAUACAUGUGCUAGUCUAAUAUUCAUGUGUGUCCUCACAUGAACUCCGACUAGGGACAACUUUAGAAUAACCAUACAAGUAAAGAGUUUCACAUACAAUUCACAUAAUUGCAAAUCAAUUCAAGUAGCCUUUAAUGGAUAUUCAAUGAACACAAUAUACAAAUCAUGGAUACAAAUGGAAUAUCAUCAUCUCUAUGAUUGCCUCUAGGGCAUACCUCCAACAGUCAGCGGACAAGUGCCAGAAGAAGCGGAGGAAGCCUUGGCGCCAGCUGCAUACAUCGAGUCAAUGAGGAUCCCGGUCUUCAUAGCCCUUCGUCACAUGGCCGAUCGCGCCAAGUUGGCCAAGACUCGUGAAGAAGAGGACGCGUACAAACAUCAGGCUCAAGAGGUGCACCAACGUAUUCAUUUUCUGGAGGACUCCCGCCCGGGGAUCGUCGGCGAGAUAGACCGCCUCAAACGCCGAAGGGCAGAGCUCGCCAAGGAGAUGGAGCAGGUGACCAAGGCAAUCAGUGCCGAAGAGAAAAGACUCCAAGAACUCCCUUCUGUCAUUGCCGAUCUAAAAUAGGAGAGGCAGCAUUUAGCUCAUGAAGCCCUGAAGCUCCACCGUAGCGCAUCAGAAGUCCCCGGAUCGGCGGAUGAUGACCAACGGGUCUUGGACUCUGCCGAUCAGAUCCGGUGUCGGGCGAUUGCGGCUAUCGAUGCCCUUCUGGGUAAUUUUAAAAGCACUGACUAUUUUGUACGAACCUUUAAUAACUGCUUUGACCGUCCUUCGCGACGCCUCUUUUAUUCAUUGCCCUUCUUACUUCCGAUGGGACGCACCCUUACCAAAUAUCGACGCCUCUUUCUCUUAUAAAUGCCGGCCUAGACUCCCCCUUCCGAGAGUACCAAUUUGGCUUCGGCUUUAUUUUCUCAACCCGUUCUCAUCGGCGCGACCUUCUGUCAUGUCUUCGUCGUCUUCCUCUUCCUCUGUCAACCAGGUGAAACUCUAGCCUUGAUUCUCCUUUUCUUUUUAACUCUUUUGAAGAGGAUCACCUUUUUAAUCUUUCUUUCUUUCAGCCACGACGUCUUAGCCCCGAGCUCGAACGCGCCAUCGAACUCAUGCACUCUGAUGAACUGUUGUCGUCAGAGAACAAGGAUCUAAUCAGAGCUCAUCGUGAUGAACUUCAAGAACAUGUCCCCGCUGACAUCCGUCGGAUCUGGGACUUUCUGGACGGCAACGCCUGCCGGCGACCUCAAGCCGACAGAAGUCAUCCGCUUCCUCCACGGGUUGCCCUUGAAGAUGCGGCAGCGGGAACAUCGCGCCCGGCCAUGGACCAGAGCCACCCUCUCCCCCGUCAAGUCGAAGCGGAGACUUCGAUGAAAGAGAUAGAAGAAGAGUACAUCCGUCUUAUGAUAGAGUUAGGUCGGGCUGAGAGAGAGCGUAAGACAAAGAAUAGUUAAUUAUUAUUUUUUGUUCUAAGGGUGACUUUGUACCUUGUCGGCCGUGUAACCCACCGUCCAUACCAAAUGAAUACAUCGACUGAUUUGGACGAUUACAUGUUUUUUCUAGACGAACCGUUUUGUAUUGGCUGUGUACCGUUGUCUUGUGGCCAAUCCUUUAUGCUCCGACCCAUAUACUAGGGUUGUAUCUUUUCAAGUACCUUCCGUUCAGAGCCCUAGUAAACUCUUCUCCCUCGAUUGUUUCCAAAAUAUAAGCAUUUCCUGGAGCACAUCUGCCGAUUUUAUAUGGCCCUUCCCAUGCAGGGGACCACUUUCCGAAUUUAGGAUCUUUCGACCCAAUCGGCAACACUAACUUCCAAACCAGGUCUCCAGGGGAGAAUUGUUUGACUUUGACCUUCUUAUCGUACCACCUGGCUACUUUUUUCUUGUUUUCCUCAAUGCUUAUCAAAGCUCUCAACCGCUGGCCAGCCAAGUCAUCAAGUUCCCUUUUCAUAAGUGACGAGUAGUCUUCGGCCAUUAACUGGUCCUGGAGCGAAAUGCGCCUCGACCCCGCCCUUGAUUCCCAUGGUAGUACUGCAUCGUGAUCGUACACCAACUGAUAAGGGGAUAACUUGGUGGCCCCAUGGCAAGCCAUCCUAUAUGCCCAUAGGGCUUCAGUUAGACACAGAUGCCAUUUUUUAGGCUGCUCCUCUAUCUUCCUUUUGAUUAACUUAAUUAUCCCUUUGUUGGAGGAUUCGGCCUAGCCGUUGGCUUGGGCGUAAUAUGGAGAGGAGUUUAAUAAUUUGAUUCCCAUAUCGGCCGUGAAUUCCUCGAAUUCCCCUGAUGUGAACAUUGUUCCCUGAUCGGUCGUAAUAGUCUUUGGAAUGCCGAAUCGGUAGACGAUAUGGUUCCUUACGAAGUCGGCCAUGAUAGCCGAUGUCACGGCUCUUAACGGAAUUGCUUCCACCCAUUUGGUAAAGUAAUCUGUACCCACCAGAAUAAACUUGUGUCCUUUGCUUGAUGGAGGGUAAAUUUGGCCGAUAAGGUCUAUUCCCCAUCCUCUGAACGGCCAUGGCUUGAUGAUGGGAUUCAUGGCCGAUGCGGGCGCACGUUGGACAUUCCCGAACUUCUGACAAUCCUGGCAUCCCUUAUAAUAUUUGAAGCAAUCUUCGAGGAUCGUUGGCCAGUAAUACCCAUUAUUCCUGAUCAUCCAUUUCAUCUUAUGGGCCGAUUGGUGGGCUCCACAUCCCCUUCAUGGAUUUCGCCCAUCAGAGUCUUAGCCUCCUCUGUUCCCAGACAUUUGAGUAGGACGCCGUCAAUUGUUCGGUAGAACAAGUCAUCUCCAAGCAGUACGUAUUUAGUAGCAUGGAAACGCACUCGUCGAUCCACUUUCUUAGACGGAUCUUUCAAGUAGUCGGCAAUUUCUUUCCGCCAGUCAUCGGCCGCAAGUUCCAAAGCCAUAGCGCCUAGAAUUGGCCGAUAUCCAGAUGCGUGCUGGGCGAGUUUGUUGGCAUCCUCGUUGUGAUCUCUUGGGAUGUGCUCGAUCACUGCCGAUUUAAAUUCUUCUAAAAGCUGCAGGCAAUCUUCAUAAUAAAUUCUCAAUACAUCGUCCUUGCAUUCAGACCUCCCCGUUAAUUGAUCCACAAUAAGCAUGGAAUCUCCGAAGAUUUCAACAGAAUCGGCCCUGACUUCUCUUAGUAGUUGCAAUCCCUUCAACACAGCUCGGUACUCUGCUUGAUUGUUAGUGGCGGUGGCUUCUAUCGGCAGAGAAAAAUCAUAACUUGCCCCCCAAGGCGAUAUGAGGACGAUGCCGAUUCCUGAUCCGACCCCACAUGACGAUCCAUCAAAGUAUAAAGUCCAAGGUACCGGUUCCACGAAGGUGAUCUCUGGCCCGCAGUGUUGGGCGACGAAAUCGGCCAUGACCUGACCCUUGACGGCUUUAGCCGAUUCAUACCGUAGGUCAAAUUCUGAUAAAGCUAAAAUCCAUUUGCCGAUUCGUCCCUUCAAGAUCGGCAGUGACAGCAUGUAUUUGACCACUUCAUCUUUGCAUACGACCACACAUUCCGCCGUCAGUAAAUAGUGCCUGAGCUUGGUGCAUGAGAAGUAUAGACAUAGGCAUAACCGCUCGACUGGAGGAUAUCUUGUUUCGACGUCCAGAAGUCUUCUACUGACAUAAUAAAUUAUUCGUUCCUUUCCCUCGAACUCCUGGACUAGGGCCGACCCGAUAGCCUUUUCAUCGACUGAUAAGUAUAAUUUAAAUGGCUUACCAGUUUGAGGAGGGACCAGCACCGGUGGUGAAACCAAGUACUGCUUGAUAUCUUCUAGCACCUUGCGUUGCUCCUCCCCCCAUAUGAACUCCUGGACGGGCUUCAACUUUAAUUGUGGUGUGAAAGCCUGGAUCCGCCCAGAUAGAUUAGAUAUGAAUCUUCUGAUGAAAUUCACUUUGCCGAUUAAAGAUUGCAAUUUAGUUUUAUUCUGCGGGGCUACUACUUUGUUGAUAGCCGCUAUGGUCUUCCGAUUGAUUUCUAUUCCCCGCUCGUGCACCAUGAAUCCUAGGAACUGUCCGGCGGACACGCCGAAGGCACAUUUAUUCGGGUUCAUCUUCAGCCCAUGUUUCUUAGUGCACUCCAGUACUUUUCGCAAAUCGGCCAGAUGCUCUUCGUGUCCUCUGGACUUAACUACGAUGUCGUCGAUGUAGAUUUCUACCAGUAUGCCGAUGAGUUUGUGAAAUAUGUAGUUCAUGGCUCUCUGAUACGUGGCGCCGGCAUUUUUCAAGCCAAAAGUCAUCACCACCCACUCGAAUAAGCCAAGGUGGCCCGGGCAUCUGAAGGCCAUUUUGGGUAUGUCCUCUUCGUCCAUAAGUAUUUGAUUGUACCCAGCGUUUCCGUCCAUGAAGCUCAUAAUCUUGUGUCCCGCGGCGGCGUCUAUCAGCACAUCGGCCGUUGGCAUGGGGUAUCCGUCCAUCGGUGUGGCCUGAUUAAGAUUCCUGAAAUCAACGCACACGUGUAGCUUUCCGUUCUUCUUGUACACUGGUACAAUGUUGGAUAUCCACUCGGUAUAACGGCAUUGCCGAAUAAAUUUUGCUUCAAUUAGCCGAGUUAUUUCGGCUUUUAUGUCUGGUAGAAUUUUAGGAUUGCAGCGCCGUGUAGGCUGUUGGAACGGCCGAUACCCUGAUUUUAUGGGUAGCCGAUGUUCAACAAUGGAUCGAUCUAAACCGGGCAUCUCAUGAUACUCCCAAGCAAAACAAUCCUUAAAUUCUCUUAACAAAUUUGUCAAUUUAUAUUUGUAUUCUGGGUCUAAAUUUGCACUAAUAUAAGUCGGCCUUGGUUUGGUGCCAUCGCCUAAGUCUAUCAUCUCUAAUGAAUCGGCCGACGUGAACCCGUACUGUAGCUUCCCAUCUUCUCGGGCGAACUGAUCCAUUUAUUCUGAGUCUUCGGAGCCGACUGCUCAGAUCGGCUGUAGGCCAAAAUCGGACACCUUCAGGAAAUUGGUAUCCUAUACUCUGCCGGAUAUGCACUUGACGGUUUCGCAGCUCCACUGCUGCGUGUCGGCUGCCGCGAUGCUGUAUGCGGAAUCGGCGUUGACUACCUCGAUGUUGUCGCCGACCCAUUGUACAAGACAUUGAUGCAUCGUCGAUGGGAUGCAGCAAUUUGCGUGUAUCCAGUCCCGGCCGAGUAGCAUGUUGUAGGAUCCCUUGCCAUUAAUAAUAAAGAAGGUAGUGGGAAGGGUCUUACUGCCGAUGGUGAGGUCGACGCAGAGGGCACCGCGAGCGGGGGACACGUUGCCCUCGAAGUCUUUGAGCAUCAUGUCUGUCUUGGUCAAGUCAUCAUCGUUUUUCCCAAGCUUCCGGAGCACGGCAUAUGGCAUGAUGUUGACUGCAGCUCCUCCGUCUACCAUCAACCUGGUGAGGGGUCGGCCGUUGACGUGCCCUUUAAGGAACAACGCUUUCAGAUGUUGACAUUUGUCAUCUUCGGGCUUCUCGAACGUGGCUAUCAUUGGCUCCAAAGCCAAUUGUGCCAUCUGUUCUUCUAUCGCCGCCACAUCCUGUUGGUCGGCAGGGGUCAUAAAUUCCAUCGGCAGUAUGAAAACCAUACCGAUGUCGGCUGCCGAUUCAUCGCCCGCUGAUUCGUCGCCUCCUCUGUCGUUUCUUUUGGGGCGCCACACCUGAGACCUACCUUCCCUCUUGUCCGUCGUGCUCUGUUGUUCCUCCUCCUGCUGUUCCCACUGGCGGAGACGUUGGAUCCUUCGUUUUUGAGAUUUGAUCAAUCCAUCAGGACACCACCUAGGGUUUACUGGUUUGGUCCUUGGCCUGGCGCGUUCCCAUUCCGGCUCAUGUCCUAAAGGGUUUUCGUCUGUCACCCAAGCAUCGGCCAUCUCUUCAAGCCACUGUGAACGUUGGCCCUGUUUUCUGACCGGUCAUGUCGAUCAGACCUGCCCCCCGGCCUGUCAUGGCAUCUAUCUUCCGACCGGUCAUAUCGGUCACUUCUGCCCUCCAGCCGAUCACGCACGGGAGGGCGCCGGUCGUCUUGGUCGCGCCAGUUCCUCCUGAUCGGUUCUGGUCUUCCGUCUCUGGAGUGAGACCUGUUGAACGGCCGAUUGUUACGAUACGGGCCGUUGCAUUCCGGGCAAUUAUCGGCCGAAGGUAGCCUGAGGUUGCUUUCCCAACAGUGGAUGAAGAACGGGCACCUCCAGUGAUCUUCGUGUCGCCGCAUCGCUUCUUCCCGGGAUCUUGAGCGUUCAUGUUGACGCUGAUAUUUUUGGAGCAGGAAUUGGGAAGUAAUGCGUGGCUCACCUGAUUCGCCAUCGUCAUCCUCCAUCCGCCGCUUCCCCUUGACGUCUUCGGGCGUCGCUUGAUUUCUUGGGUCCACGGCACCACUCUUUUUAGCCGAUUCGGACGUCAGCACCUUUGUUUGGAGCGAGUUCCUCCCUGUGUCAACCAUGUUGGUGGGGAAGGGGUGUUGGUCGAUCUUCAUCGGCUUGACUGAUUUUGUUGGUACUUCAAACCUAAGUCUGCCCUGCUCAAUGGCUGACUGUAUCUGCUGCCGGAAGAUUUUGCACUCAUUAGUGUCAUGAGAUGUAGCGUUGUGCCACUUGCAAUAUUUCAUCUUCUUCAGUUGUUCGGCAGAAGGUAUUGUAUGGUAUGGCGAGAGCUUGAUCUGUCCUUCCUGGAGGAGAAGGUCGAAGAUUUUGUCGGCCUUCGUUGUGUCAAAGCCGAAUGUUUCUGGCCCUUUCUUGCCGAACGGGCAUGAUAUAGGCUUCUUUCCCUUGACCCACUCCGCAAGACCGAUCUCAGCAUCUUCUUCGGCGUUAACCUCUUCCAGGAACGCAACCUUCUUAUAGAAGUUCCUUCGUGGAUCGAAAGAACGUACUUCCUGUCCAGACAAUCGGUGGACGAUCUGGCUUAAGCUCUCAAACUCCUGAGAGGCGUACUUCUCUUUGAUGUGGGGCGGGAGACCUUGAAAGGCUAUAUCAGCCAACUGUGCGUCGUUUAGAGCCAGAGAGUAGCAUUUGUUCCUAAUUUCCCGAAACCUCUGUACAUAUGAGGAUAUCGGCUCGUAGCUUCUCUGCUUGAGGCUGGUCAAAUCGGAUAGCUUCAUCUCAUGCACCCCGGCGUAGAAGUAUUUAUGAAACUAUCUUUCCAAAUCGGCCCAUGUAAUAAUCGAGUUCGGCGGUAAUGUCGUAAACCACUGAAAGGCCGAUCCGGACAAGGAUGAUGAGAAUAGCCGCACCCGUAGAGCAUCUUGCGCAGCUGCCUCUCCGCAUUGGAUGAUAAAUCUAUUCACGUGCUCCACGGUUGAAGUGUCAUCCAUCCCCGAGAACUUGGUGAAGUCAGGAACUUUAUACCGAUGGGGAAACGGCAGUAGAUCGUAUGUAGACGGGUAUGGUGUCCUAUAGGUGUAAGUUUGUACCUUCGGCUUCAAGCCGAAUUGUUCCUGAAUUACUUCUGCUAUACGUGCCGACCAAUCCGGCUGUUGCUGGUAAGCCGUUGGCUGAGGGAUUGGCACGUGCUGGUAUACCGGAGGUGGAAUGGCCUGAUGCUGAGUGAAAGUAGGUGGCAUCUGAGUGAAAGCCGGCUGUGUAUUCAGGGUCGGCUGUUUGAAUGAGCCACUCGUUUCAUCAUAUAGUACGAGCUCUGCUGCUUUGCUUAUCUCCGGUGCGACAGGCUGGUACGGCGGCAUAGUUGGUCGAGUGGCCGCCUGGAAAGAUGCCUGGAAUUGGGGACUUCCUUGACUGGCCGAUUAAUCCUGAACGGCCGUAGCUGAUGGUGCCCCCCAAGGCCCUGGGCUAACUGGAGGGAACGACGCAGAGGACAGCUGGACGGGGUGUGGCUGAAUGUGUUGUGUACCAUUAUACCCCAUAGGAAUUGAUGAUGAGGAAGCGCCUGAACCCCCAAUAGAAAGUUGGAUCGGCUGAGGAACCGAAUAACCCUUGUUUGGUGGAAUCGGCUAAAUAUAUGCCGGUCCCUUGUAUCCUUGUGGUGCUCCGCUAGCGAUGGAGUUGAUGACGGCAUUGUACACCGUAUUUGCAAGCACCGGGGAUUGAUCAAUGAAGGCGUGAUAAACGGAUUGUUGGACCAUCUCGGCCAUCUUGUCCAAGUCCUCGGUGAUUGUGAUUUGGCAGGGAGCUGGAAAUGGAGUCUUUCUGAUAGUUUCCCCGCUUCUGGUACGACUAAAGGACUGCAAGCAAAUCUUUCGGUAUUGUGCCGUCUGCUUCUCUAGUUCUUCCUUCUGGUCGUCCCUGAGAUCUGCCUCUAUUACUUCAAUGACGUUAUCUUCGGAGACUUCAGCAGCUUUCGACAUGGUGGCGGUUGUAUUUGUCCCACCGGGCGUGCCAAAAGUAUGUUGGCGCUAGAAAUCGGUCAACCGAAUCCCCAGCGUCUGACACACGACCCGGGAGAAUCUGCUUAACUCCUAUUCGGGUGAUUGCCCUGGUGCAGUUCGCGCGACGUGCCAGCCAAUCUGACCUGUUGAUUAGCAAGGAAGAAUACGUGUCAGGUCCGGAAGUCGCGAUCGGCUAAAUUUCCGAUCUCGAGAGAGCUUAUCAGCGAAUCGGCCGAUUUGCCGUAAUAAAGAAAUCGGCUAUAAAGCAACCGAUCACUGUAGCAGUGUAGACAAAAACUACUGGAGUAAUC
rnacentral:lncRNA from 1 species